rnacentral:lncRNA from 1 species
AUGGGAUGGAUUGAUGACGCUAUCAUAUUACGCAUUCUACUAGUACAAGUCAGGAUGCCGGUUUAACCGUUUAACUAAUAUUUGGCCUAUUUGGUCUUGAUUGACUAGGUUUCAAGAACUUCGCGAGGAAUUGAUUUAGAUUGUCCUCUAAAGAGAGGCCAGUUCAAGUAGAUUAACAAAAUUGGAUACGCAUCAAAUAGGAGUUUAUGCAAAUAGUUUUAGUUGUUAGAUGUUGUUUGCAUAUAACUGUUGUUGCAUGUUCAUACACAUUAUUGCAUUUGCAUGCUUAAUGACGUAUGAUCUAUCUUAACAAAUUCGGUAUUGUUGAUCAUAACGGGAUUAGGAAAACUCGUUCUUAACAAACUAGGUGGCUAAAAGGAGUAGAAGUUAUAAUGAGCAUCAUUUGUUUUGUGCACACACCUUAUGUAUCUUAAAAUAGUGAGGUUAAAACCAUAGUGAGUAUUACAAUUAACACUCGCAAUCAGCUGCAACUCCUUUUAAAAUAUGCCAUGGAUAGCUACCAAAUAAUUAAAACCUAAAACUCCACUAUUUAAGGAGAAUCAAAGUAAAAGAAAAAAAUUCUUAGCUAAUACAUAAUUCAGGAAGAGGACUUACCUUCUCCUUGACAGACUCCUCCUUUUCUAACAUAUAUUGCUGCUUUUGUGAAAGAACCAAUGGCCUUGCUUCAACCUCAUUUACAAUGAGUUGAUUCCACUCAAACUGAGAAGUGAACACCAUCAACAAUAGCAGCGAAACCAAUAGCAGCGGCCUCGACAUCACCAAACCCAACUUUCUGACUUCUUCCUGUUAAAAAAAAAAAACAUAAAGAUUCAAAAUAGAUUAACUGAAAAAAUCCAAAAUUUAAAACAAUUUUUUUUAAUUGUCUUAUGGGUUUCUUUUCAUUCCAACCAACGAGGCAAAUUACAUAAGGAUAGCAGGUAGAAGGGCAACAAACUGCGCCGCCAUCCCCUUCUGAAUAGAAAACCCUAAUCUACUAAAAACAAUUUAUUCUACAAAUUCAAGUUGUCGAGAAUCCUUAGAAAUCAAAUCACAAAAAUAAUUAUCCAUAGUACAUCAUAGUCAUAAAAUUUCAUGAAAUUAUAGCAUAAAAGUAACUAAACCAUAUCUGCAAGAAAUGUAACUGAAAGUCUGAAGAUGACAUCAUAUCCAAUUAUUCAUACAAUUUCAUGAAAUUAUAGCAUAUAACUAAACCAUAUCAGCACAUAUGUAACUGAAAGUGUAAAGAUGACAUCAUAUUCAUCCAAUUUCAUGUGAUUACAGCCUAUACACAAAUCAAAUCAACACAAAAUGUAACCGGAAGUGUGUGAUGGCUACUUACAACCUCAAAUAGCCUGAAUUUGAAGCUCUAGAAAUACAUGACAUCUUAAUCAUAAAAUUUCAUGAGAUUAUAGCCUACAAACAAAUCAAACAACACAAAAUGCAACCGAAAGUGUGCGAUGGCUACUUACAAAAUCAAAUAACCUGAUUUAUAAACCCUAGGAAGAAGAUGAAAUCAUAAUCAUACAAUUUCAUGAGAAUACAGCCUAUAAACAAAUCAAAUCAACACAAAACGCAACUGGAAGUAUGUGAUGGCUACUUACAACGUCAAAUAACCUGAAUUAGAAGCUCUAGAAAACAGAACACAUCAUAUUCAUACAAUUUCAUGAGAUUAUAGCAUAUAAACUAAUCAAAUCAACACAAAAUGUAACCGGAAGUGUGUGAUGGUUACUUACAAAGUCAAAUAAUCCGAAAUAGAAGCCCUAGAAAGAAGAUAACAUCAUAUAAUCAAAAUUAGAAGCCCUAGGAAGCAGACGACAUCAUAUUCAUACAGUUUCAUGAGAUUUUAGCCUAUAAACAAAUCAAAUCAACACAAAAUGUAACUGAAAGUGUGCGAUGGCUACUUGCCUACUUACAAAGUCAUAUAACCUAUAUUAGAAGCCCUAGAAAACAGAUGACAUCAUAUUCAUACAAUUUCACGAAAUUAUAGUAAAUACAUAGGUCAAAUUAACACAAAAUAUAACCGGGAGUGUGUAGAACAUAAAUCGAUGGAGGUAGUAAUAUAAUGUGCUUGAAAUUAAAAUCAGAUUAAACAAAAAAAAAGAGGAAUACCUCUGAGAACGAUGAAUAUGAGCUGCAGAUUAUGGAAAACUGUGUGGAUCGAUGUUCUAAGAUUAGAUUAGAUGAUAUCGAAUACUUGUGAGCGUGAUGGUACAAACCGCCGAUAACUGUC